AAAUAGAUACCCCGGGUAGUCCACGCCCUAAACGAUGCGAACUGGAUGGUUGGGUUCAACUUGGAACCCAGUAUCGAAGCUAACGCGUUAAGUUCGCCGCCUGGGGAGUACGGUCGCAAGACUGAAACUCAAAGGAAUUGACGGGGGCCCGCACAAGCGGUGGAGUAUGUGGUUUAAUUCGAUGCAACGCGAAGAACCUUACCUGGUCUUGACAUCCACGGAACUUUCCAGAGAUGGAUUGGUGCCUUCGGGAACCGUGAGACAGGUGCUGCAUGGCUGUCGUCAGCUCGUGUCGUGAGAUGUUGGGUUAAGUCCCGCAACGAGCGCAACCCUUGUCCUUAGUUGCCAGCACGUAAUGGUGGGAACUCUAAGGAGACCGCCGGUGACAAACCGGAGGAAGGUGGGGAUGGACGUCAAGGUCAUCAUGGCCCUUACGACCCAGGGCUACACACGUACUACAAUGGUGGGGACAGAGGGCCGCAAUCCCGGCGAGGGUGAGCCAAUCCCGAGAAACCCCAUCUCAGUCCGGAUCGGAGUCUGCAACUCGACU
rnacentral:rRNA from 1 species